rnacentral:lncRNA from 1 species
CAUCGAUACAGUACAGCGCUUCAGGCGUUUGAAUUAUCCCGAUUUAGAUUGAGCGGGUGGACGUGGUGCUAAAGAAUACUUACGUUUUAAUACUUUUAUUGUGUAAAUUCUAAUAAUGUCAGGCAGAGAAGGUGGAAAAAAGAAACCUCUGAAGGCCCCAAAGAAGAACAAAGGAGAAGUGGAUGAUGAAGAUAUGGAGUUCAAACAGAAGCAAAGAGAGCAGCAGAAAGCAAUGCAGGAAGCCAGAGAAAAGGCUUCAAAGAAAGGCCCAUUAUCGGGUGGCGGAAUAAAGAAGUCUGGCAAGAAAUGACCUUCACCUGUCUUGAGGUUCAUCUGCAAUUUGUCUUUGAAAUUUGGCAGUUUAGAAGUAAAAAUGGACAUCAUAAAUUCAUAGUUUUCAAUAGUAGAUAACAUUGAAUCAGUUUUACUUUAUUUUCCUAGGGUUCAUACUGGUGUUCAUAAGAGAAUGUUAUGAUAAUAAGACUUAUUUCAUGUGUUCAGUCAAUAUUAUUGGGCAUAUUUAUAUUCAAGUGCUGAAGAAUUGCAGUUCAGAAUUUUUAAAUUAUCUGGGUUUUUUUCACCUGUUAAGUUUUGAGCUCCUAAAGUUAUAGCAAUGGUUCAACUGAUCCGAUAUUAACUUGAAAUGUGUUUAAAUUUUUAUUUGUGCAUAAUGGAUAUGUUCUUGUGUGACUUGCUUGAGAUUAUGCUAGUGUGUUUAUAGUUUCACAAUCUGCUUAAAACGUGUAAUUCUCAGAUACAGCAUUUUGUUUUAUUAAAUUUUUAAAACGUAAUUAAUUUUUUCUACUCAUAGCUGUACCUCCCUCCACCCAUCCCCAGUAGUGUACAAAAAAAAGUUUUAAAAUGUGUUUGUUCAAAAAUGUUCCAUUUUGGUUUUCAGAUUAAAUUCUUCCACACUACUGAUAUGUUAUUUAAUCCUUGUCUCUUUGCAAGGGAAAUAAUCCAGUAAGACUGACCAUUAUCUGUUAAGAACACUUCUUCAGAAUUUCUUAAAACUGCAUAUAAUUGUAUAUAUUGUGUGCUUUCUGGAUGAUGCAUGAUACAUGUAUGCACAGCCAUAUACCUUUUAUCAUUUUACCAUAAAAUACAUGUUGCUGUACAAAAAUAAAAACAGUUAUGACUAACAUACUUCGAUUAAAUGUUUAAUACA